rnacentral:rRNA from 1 species
CCUACGGGUGGCAGCAGUAGGGAAUCUUCCACAAUGGGCGAAAGUCUGAUGGAGCAACGCCGCGUGAGUGAAGAAGGCUUUCGGCUCGUAAAGUUCUGUUGGUAGUGAAGAACGAUAGAGGUUAUCACUUGCCUUUAUUUGACCGAAAUUCCUUCGAAAGUCCCGGCUAACUACGUGCCGGCAGCCGCGGUAAUACGUAGGUGGCAGUCGUUGUCCGGCUUUAUUGGGUGUAAAGCGAGUGCAGGCGGGUAAAUAAGUCUGAUGUGAAAGCCAUCGGCUCAACCGGAGAAUUGCAUCAGAAACUGUUGAACUUGAGUGCAGAAGAGGAGAGUGGAACUCCAUGUGUAGCGGUGGAAUGCGUAGAUAUAUGGAAGAACACCAGUGGCGAAGGCGGCUCUCUGGUCUGCAACUGACGCUGAGGCUCGAAAGCAUGGGUAGCGAACAGGAUUAGAUACCCCAGUAGUC